rnacentral:rRNA from 1 species
AACGCGAAGAACCUUACCUGGCCUUGACAUCCUGCGAACUUUCUAGAGAUAGAUUGGUGCCUUCGGGAGCGCAGUGACAGGUGCUGCAUGGCCGUCGUCAGCUCGUGUCGUGAGAUGUUGGGUUAAGUCCCGUAACGAGCGCAACCCCUAUCCCUAGUUGCUAGCAGUUCGGCUGAGAACUCUAGGGAGACUGCCGGUGACAAACCGGAGGAAGGUGGGGAUGACGUCAGGUCAUCAUGGCCCUUACGGCCAGGGCUACACACGUGCUACAAUGGCGCGCACAGAGGGCUGCAAACCCGCGAGGGGGAGCUAAUCUCACAAAACGCGUCGUAGUCCGGAUCGCAGUCUGCAACUCGUCUGCGUGAAGUCGGAAUCGCUAGUAAUCGCGAAUCAGAAUGUCGCGGUGAAUACGUUCCCGGGUCUGUACACACCGA